ensembl:lncRNA
CAGGCUGAUACGCGGAAGCGCCGGCCAGGCAGGUGUCCGUUGGAGGGCUCUAAACAUUUACGAGUGACCCACCCCUAGUCAUUGGAAUUCAACUGUGCUCCAUGCUGUAGGAGAGGCAGCAACACCAAAUCUUUAUCUCAAUGUCUGCACUACCUUCCAAACAUAGAGCCUGAGUCAAGAACCCAGUGAGAUCCUGAGGGGAAUGCCUACAGCACAGAGAUUAUUUUCCUCGUGCUACAUUUGUAGCUCUAGAAAAGAGGCUACAUCUCCAGAUGCCACCCCCAUCCAACCUUCUGGAGGCAGCCCCAGGAGACAGCAGUGGUUGUGCACCAGAGGGUGCAAUGCCUGGGACUACUGCAGCUGUCUUGUGACCAAGAGGAACACUAUCUUAAUGAUAAGCCAGUAUACUAAAGAUGGCAGAGCAAGAAAAUGGAAAGACUCCAGAUCUUUGAUGUCACUGAGCUGCUGAACUAACCGACCCCUGGAGCUGCUUUACCUCUGGACUUAUUAUAUCUUCAAAUUCUUCAAGUGAUUUUUUAACAGGAUAUUACCUUCACCCUGAGGAAGGUGGCAGAGGUGGAGGAUAAAAACACAGGCGAUGGAUUUCAGAGAGACUUUGUAGGUGCUUUCGUUUCCUCCUCCAGGAGGUAAAUGUAUUAUUAGAGUUCGGAAUAUCUUUCCCUGUACAGGUUCGCUCUAAAUCUCUUCGCAUUUUGUUAUGAAUGAGAAUGUGACCUUUCGUCUCCUAUGGAAAUCCAAGCUCUUGAAAGAAGAUUUCUGUGAAUGAGCUAAAAAAAGAAUCCAUUUUUGUCAGUAUAAAUAGCCAGAGGGCCUGGGACUAAUAAGACCACAUUUGAAAGUGCCAAUCUUAUGAGAGUAAUUAGCAAGUGAAGAAGCAAGCGGGUGUGCUUUCAUGGCUGAAUUGCUUCCACCUUAUGAGGCUGAGUCUCAGAAUUGGACACCACAAGCUUCGGGGAGUCAGAGACAAACCGCCCCGAUACAGCUCUCUCUUUAAUUAGCUCUGUGACAUGAGCAGGUUUCACGAAUGCUGACUCUGAGCAGGCACUGUGCUACACCCACCUACUCAUGGAUGGACAAGAGAGCAACACAACAAGCUUUCAUGGGCUGUAUUACAUCACAUUUGGAAGUAUUUAUAUUUCCAGUUGUGAUCUUUAAAAAAGAAUUGUCUAAGCUCAAAUACCCCAAAGCAUGAAGAGCCUUGCUUUGCACUUACUUAAAUUUUUGUGUUGGUCUUUUUUUCUUUUUUUUUUUUUGGUGAGGAAGAUUGGCUCUGAGCUAACACCUGUUACCAAUCUUCCUCUUUUUCCUUGAGGGAGAGUGGUCCUGAGCUAACGUUUGUGUCAGUCUUCCUCCCUUUUGUAUGUGGGACGCUGCCACAGCAUUUCUUGGUGAGAGGUGUAGGUCCAUCCCCAGGAUCCAAACCUACAAAUCUGGACCGCCAAAGUGGAGCACACCACACUUAACCACUACACCCCCAGGCCAGCCCAUGCACUUAUUUAAAUUUUUGAUGAAAUGUAUAAGCUAGAUAAUUUUGCUUUAUAUACAAAGUGCUAUAAUUGCAUUAAAACUACAUUCUGUUUUUCCUUAUUAGGUAGAAAGUUUUUCUUUGGAAAGAUUUAAAAUUUUUCAUAUAAAUACC